rnacentral:rRNA from 1 species
AAUAAGCGGAGGAAAAGAAACUAACAAGGAUUCCCCUAGUAACGGCGAGUGAAGCGGGAAGAGCUCAAAUUUGAAAUCUGGUGGCCUCAGGUCAUCCGAGUUGUAAUCUAUAGAAGUGUUUUCCGUGCUGGCUCAUGUACAAGUCCCUUGGAACAGGGCGUCAUAGAGGGUGAGAAUCCCGUCCUUGACAUGAACUACCAGUGCUCUGUGAUACAUUUUCAACGAGUCGAGUUGUUUGGGAAUGCAGCUCAAAAUGGGUGGUAAAUUCCAUCUAAAGCUAAAUAUUGGCGAGAGACCGAUAGCGAACAAGUACCGUGAGGGAAAGAUGAAAAGCACUUUGGAAAGAGAGUUAAACAGUAUGUGAAAUUGUUGAAAGGGAAACGAUUGAAGUCAGUCGUGCUCUUUGGAUUCAGCCGGUUCUGCCGGUGUACUUCCUUUGAGUGGGGUCAACAUCAGUUUUGAUCGCUGGAUAAAGGCUGGAGGAACGUAGUACCCUCGGGUAAACUUAUAGCCUCCUGUCACAUACAGUGGUUGGGACUGAGGAACGCAGCACGCCUUUAUGGCCGGGAUUCGUCCACGUACGUGCUUAGGAUGUUGACAUAAUGGCUUUAAACGACCCGUCUUGAA